rnacentral:rRNA from 1 species
GAGUUUGAUCAUGGCUCAGGAUGAACGCUAGCGGCAGGCUUAACACAUGCAAGUCGAGGGGCAGCGCAGGUAGCAAUACUGGGCGGCGACCGGCAAACGGGUGCGGAACACGUACGCAAUCUACCUUUAUCUGGGGUAUAGCCCGGAGAAAUCCGGAUUAACCCCCCAUAAUAUAUAGGAGUGGCAUCACUCAAUAUUAAACUACAGGUGGAUAAAGAUGAGCGUGCGUCCCAUUAGCUAGUUGGUAGGGUAAUGGCCUACCAAGGCGACGAUCGGUAGCCGGCCUGAGAGGGCGGACGGCCACACUGGGACGUGAGACACGGCCCAGACUCCUACGGGAGGCAGCAGUGGGGAAUUGUUCGCAAUGGCGCAAGCCUGACGACGCAACGCCGCGUGGAGGAUGAAGGUCUUCGGAUUGUAACUCCUGUUG